GACGAGCUACACAAACGUUAUUCGGAAUUACUGGGCUUAAAGGGUGCGUAGGCUGCGCGGAAAGUUGGGUGUGAAAUCCCUCGGCUCAACCGAGGAACUGCGCCCAAAACUACCGUGCUCGAGGAAGAUAGAGGUGAGCGGAACUUACGGUGGAGCGGUGAAAUGCGUUGAUAUCGUAAGGAACACCCGUGGCGAAGGCGGCAUCCUGGACCGACAUUGACGCUGAGGAGCGAAAGCUAGGGGAGCAAACGGG
rnacentral:rRNA from 1 species